ensembl:snoRNA
UGCACUUGUGUGUAUGUUUGUUUAACUGUGGACAAAGAUUAAAAGCAGGUGUAAAACGCAAAUGGUCUUUUUCAUCUCAGAACUCACUCUUCAGUAUGUUUUGAUACAAAUAAAAAGUGAUAUA